UGGGGAAUAUUGCACAAUGGGCGCAAGCCUGAUGCAGCGACGCCGCGUGGAGGAUGAAGGUUUUCGGAUUGUAAACUCCUGUUAAGUGGGAAGAAAGGGUAGCAUCUAAUACAUGCUAUGAAUGACGGUACCACUAGAGAAAGCACCGGCAAACUUCGUGCCAGCAGCCGCGGUAAUACGAAGGGUGCAAGCGUUAUUCGGAGUUACUGGGCGUAAAGAGCGUGUAGGCGGUUUUUUAAGUCAUUUGUUAAAUCUCUCGGCUUAACCGGGAAAAGGCAGGUGAUACUGAUUGACUAGAGGGUAAGAGAGAGAAGCGGAAUUCUCGGAGUAGCGGUAAAAUGCGUAGAUCUCGAGAGGAACACCGGUGGCGAAGGCGGCUUCUUGGCUUAUUUCUGACGCUAAAGCGCGAAAGCGUGGGGAGCAAACAGG
rnacentral:rRNA from 1 species